AUUGAACGCUGGCGGCAGGCCUAACACAUGCAAGUCGAGCGAGCGGCGGACGGGUGAGUAAUGUCUGGGAACCUGCCUGAUGGAGGGGGAUAACUACUGGAAACGGUAGCUAAUACCGCAUACCAUCAGAUGUGCCCAGAUGUGAUUAGCUAGUAGGGGGGGUAAUGGCCCACCGAGUCGACGAUCCCUAGCUGGUCUGAGAGGAUGACCAGGCACACUGGAACUGAGACACGGUCCAGACUCCUACGGGAGGCAGCAGUGGGGAAUAUUGAACAAUGGACGCAAGCCUGAUGGAGCCAUGCCGCGUGUGUGAAGAAGGCCUUCGGGUUGUAAAGCCCUUUCAGCGGGGAGGCGUUACCCGCAGAAGAAGCAACGGCUAACUCCGUGCCAGCAGCCGCGGUAAUAC
rnacentral:rRNA from 1 species